AUGUCGGAAAACAACAUGUUUUUCCUAAUAGGUUUCUACUGUCCUUUGGGGAGCUUCACUCCAGUCCCCUGUCCAAAGGGAACCUAUGGGCCAACUGCUGGUGCUGUGUCUAUAGACAGCUGCCUGAAGUGUCCUCCUCACCACUACUGUCCUAGACCGGGUCUGCCUGCCUCCCUGCCCUGUGGCCCUGUGGCUCAGCAGCCUCUGUCUGGUCAGGACUCUUGCGUCUGCCCGGGAGAGGGGCAGAGCUUCCAGACCAGUGACAGGCGGUGCCACUGUACCCUCGGCUACCAACCUUCCGACAACGGAGAUGUGUGUGUACACAAACUGUACGAUGUCUGCAGAGAUGGAAAAGCACGUACACAGAAUGGAGACUGUCUGAGCAGAUAUCAGUGGUCACUUCACUGUAAGCAGCAGGUGUGUCAAUCUGCAGAGGACUACCAUGGUUAUGAUGGACAGCUGGGUCUGUGCAUUUGUAAAGAGCCCCCUGGCAGAACUGCAUGUGGAGCCCUAUGCAGGAGAACGCCAGAUACUGAGCUCUAUCUCCAGUGCCAGCCCAAAGGAGAAAUGGAGCUGGUAUGGAGCUAUGGCAGUCAGGUGUCGGGCAUAUCAGGCAGCGUGCUGGAGACAGUUUUUAAACAGUGGGACUCCCAGGGGACUCUUCAGUGCAAAAGCCACCUCAACUCCUUACAUCCUGUCUACAUUGUUCAGACAACAGGUGGAGCACACAGCACUCAAAGUGACUUUCUGUCUUUCUCCCUUUCUCUCUCUCUCUGUUUCUCACAUCUUUCCCCCUCUCAUUGUCGGAUCACAGCGGCAGGCUUCCUCGGCCUCCUCAGCGGCCUCCCAAAGGAGCUUCAGCAACUGUUUCCUGUCACCACACAGCGAAACACUCAAAGCUCCGCUGAAAGCGAUUCUGACGUUCUGUGGGAGGUCAACAAAGUUGAAAAUAUCAGUCAAGAAGGUAGAGAAAUGAACUCCAGCAGCAGGAGGGCAAACAGGGGGGAUAUCGAGGAAGAAGUGAGAGGAACAAGUGUAACUGGAGUUCUGAACCCCACAGCGUGUCUCCUUUUGGGUGACGUUCUGCUGUUCACUGUCGACACACGUCACUAUCCUCAGUAUGAUCUGUAA
rnacentral:lncRNA from 1 species